AGCCACCAUACCUGGCCCAGAGUCAACUUUGUACAGAAAAUCUGACUAUUGACUCUGCUCCUCAUCUCCCUUCAGUGGCUCCCUGGCGCCCUUGGGAUCGAGUUUGAACCCUUUAACCUGGCCCAACAGUUCCUUCCCAGCCUGACCCUGACUCACCUCUACAGCUUCUCUCUGUCCGUAGCCCCAUGAGAUCUUUCAGGCCGGCCACUUGAAACCAUUUGCUAUGUUUUUUCAGGGCUGCAGCCCUCUAAGGAAGGAUGGGAUGUGAACAGCAAGGAGGAAGGGAGGUGUCCUAGGUUGGGCAAAGCUGUACAGAGGCAUGGGGUUGGAAUAUAGUGGAUAUGUUCAGGGCUCCACUCCUUUGGAUAUUUGAUCCUUAUAUCCUGGAAACACCCUUCCUUCUCUACUUCGACUCACAAGUUCAGCCAUGCCCUUAAGAUCCAGCCCUGUUAUACUCACCUCUCUGAAGCCUUUCUUAAUCCAUCCAGGUAGAGGUAAAGCCUUCCUCUGUGGACCAAGAGCGUUUUGUAAACAGA
rnacentral:lncRNA from 10 species